rnacentral:rRNA from 1 species
GACUGGGCUAUCCCGAGUGCCAUCCGCUGAGGAAGGCUUUUACCCAGUCUAGAACGCUGGGGGAAUAAGGAGAGGGCAAGUCUGGUGUCAGCCGCCGCGGUAAUACCAGCUCUCCGAGUGGUGUGGAUGUUUAUUGGGCCUAAAGCAUCCGUAGCUGGCUAGGUUAGUCCCCUGUUAAAUCCACCGAAUUAAUCGUUGGAUUGCGGGGGAUACUGCUUGGCUAGGGGACGAGAGAGGCAGACGGUAUUUCCGGGGUAGGGGUGAAAUCCUAUAAUCCCGGGAAGACCACCAGUGGCGAAUGCUGUCUGCUAGAACGCGCCCGACGGUGAGGGAUGAAAGCUGGGGGAGCGAACCGGAUUAGAUACCCGGGUAGUCCCAGCUGUAAACGAUGCAGACUAGGUGUUUGGACGGCCACGUGCCGUUCUAGUGCCGCAGGGAAGCUGUUAAGUCUGCCGCCUGGGGAGUACGAUCGCAAGAUUGAAACUUAAAGGAAUUGGCGGGGGAGCAC